GACGAACGCUGGCGGCGUGCCUAAUACAUGCAAGUAGAACGCACAGUUUAUACCGUAGCUUGCUACACCAUAGACUGUGAGUUGCGAACGGGUGAGUAACGCGUAGGUAACCUGCCUGGUAGCGGGGGAUAACUAUUGGAAACGAUAGCUAAUACCGCAUAAUAUUAAUUAUUGCAUGAUAAUUGAUUGAAAGAUGCAACUGCAUCACUACCAGAUGGACCUGCGUUGUAUUAGCUAGUAGGUGAGGUAACGGCUCACCUAGGCGAAGAUACAUAGCCGACCUGGGAGGGUGAUCGGCCAACCUGGGACCGAGACACGGCCCAGACUCCUACGGGAGGCAGCAGUAGGGAAUCUUCGGCAAUGGACGAAAGUCUGACCGAGCAACGCCGCGUGAGUGAAGAAGGUUUUCGGAUCGUAAAGCUCUGUUGUAAGAGAAGAACGGGUGUGAGAGUGGAAAGUUCACACUGUGACGGUAUCUUACCAGAAAGGGACGGCUAACUACGUG
rnacentral:rRNA from 1 species